rnacentral:lncRNA from 1 species
GUCUUUCGGAACUAAACAUUUGUUCGUUUUGUGUUAUGUUAAUGGCCAGUGUAAAGGUGGGAAAAUCGGAAUCGCACAUAGUCCGGCUUGGUUCGAACCACACGACCUUGCUGAUUCACAAGAUGGUGCAUCCAUUAACCGUGCACUUGACUUUAUUUUGGGAUGGUGAGUAGCUAAUAUCCUAAUAUCAAGUAUUAAUUUUCUUGUAAUUUAAUACAAUAUGUAAUAUAUGAUUAUUAUUAUUAUUAUCUUUUGUAGGCAUCUAGACACAACAACGUAUGGAGAUUACCCACAGAUCAUGAAAGACAUUGUUGGACACAGAUUGCCUAAAUUUACUGAUCAGCAGAAGGCAAAAUUGAAAAACUCAGCCGAUUUCGUUGGGCUCAACUAUUAUACUUCAGUAUUUUCAAACCAUUUGGAGAAGCCAGAUUAUUCUAAACCAAGAUGGAUGCAAGAUUCUCUUAUUAACUGGGAAUGUAAGUUUUUUUUGGUUUUUGUUUUUGUUUUUCUGCUUUUUUGCCCUUACUUGAGACAGAACCAAGAAAACAGAUGCCAACAAAUAGAAGGAAAAAGUUUGUCUUUGGUACUAAUCAAAAUCUAUCUUCUUUUCAGCUAAGAAUGCGCACAAUUACUCCAUUGGUAGCAAGGUAUGUAUUUGAUAGUCUAAUACUGAAUUAUAUUAUUUCAGAUAAAUAUUAUAAUCUUGUCUAUAACGUAACAUUUUUCACCUUUGUCGUAUUUCAGCCUUUCACGGCUGCACUGCCCGUUUACGCGAGAGGCUUCAGAAGUCUUUUGAAGUACAUCAAAGAUAAAUAUGCCAACCCGGAAAUUAUGAUCAUGGAAAAUGGUAAUUAGAGAGAUUUCUUAUUUUCGUUCAUUUUGUUUGAAAAACAUAUAUAAAAAAAAAAUAUUGAUCUUGAUGUUGUUUUCUAGGAUAUGGAGAAGAACUUGGGGCAUCAGAUUCGAUUGCAGUUGGUACUGCUGAUCAUAACAGGAAGUAUUACCUCCAGAGGCAUCUUUUAAGUAUGCAAGAAGCUAUCUGGUAAGUCUUAUAUAUUUCUGUUUUAUAUGGUAGACUAGCAAUUGUAUUGGAGAGUUAAUAAUAACAUUUGUGUACUAUAUGCAGCAUCGACAAGGUGAAUGUUACAGGAUACUUUGUAUGGUCAUUGUUGGAUAACUUCGAGUGGCAAGACGGUUAUAAGAACAGAUUUGGAUUAUAUUACAUUGAUUUCAAAAAUAACCUCACACGUUAUGAGAAAGAAUCGGGCAAAUUCUACAAAGAUUUCCUCAGUGUAGGGACUCGUCCAUCCAUGAUCAAGAGGGACGAGCUUUAAGCUAUUUUUUGAGAAUUUGGUCGUGUCGAUGUGUCUUUCCUAUGUUUGUAUUUUAUAAUUUACCAAGAUUCUAGAGGUCUUGGGUUGAAUAAAAGAGUGUCUUCUUCAUUUAUGUCUAUAUGAUUUGCAAGAUAUACUAGAAAACUCUGGUUGUGAAAAACCGGAUUUACCUCUAAACAUAGAAAUGGAUUAGGAAAUAUGAUAUAUUUAAAACAAUAUCUAAAUAUCUAGACGUAAACGAUAAGGCUGAUGCAUGAGAAACCAAAAUAAUAUAUUCUCCGAAAAAACCCAAAGUCGGGUAAGAUCAAUUAUAUUUACAGUAAAACCUUUAUAAUAAUUAAUCUCGGAAUUUUGGAAAUAUUUUAAUCUAUAGAAAAUAUUAUUAAUAUUGCAAUAUAUGAAGCUUUUGACACAGCGACUUAUUAAGUCACAUUUUAAUAUAAGCUCGUGGCACACGCGGAAUAUUAUAUGUUUCGAAUUUCGAGUAAAAAUGAUAACAACGCAUUGAUAAUUAGACCAUGCAAUUAAUCCUAUAUCCAAUUUUUUUUUUCUUUCCGACAAACACAUAUUAUAUCCAACUAUGGACUAAUAUUUUUAGUGGAAAAAGAAGAAGAAGAUAGCAACAGGAUACCGUAAAUAUCCAAAUAUAUAUUAAGAUGUGGUCGAAAACACGAUAUAAUUAAGUCUAUAAAGUGGGUCGAUUAAAAAAACACGAUAUGGGUCUUUAAAGUGGAAAUUAAAAAUAUGAUCCACGAGGCCUGGUGGUGGUUGGCAUAGUAAAACAAAAUAAAAAAAUAAUUAAAAUCUAAAGUUCAAUCAGUGAAUCAAAAUCGCUAUAUAAAGAACUCCACUUGAAUGUAUAAAAUACCAAACACACUCUUGAAGAAAACAAAAAACAACUCAAACCAAAAUGGCUUUGCAUAAGUUUCCUCUCAUGGGGCUGCUUUUGCUCCUAACCAUCUCCGUCUCUCCGGCAAUAGCUGAUGGACCUGUUUGCCCGCCGUCUACGAAACUAAGCCGGGCAAGUUACCCUGAAGGUUUUUUGUUUGGCACGGCUACGGCAGCGUAUCAGGUAUAAACAUUUCUUGACAUUUAUUUUUAGAUUUUUAUAUAUGUUCAUAAGUUAUUUCAGAUAGUAAGGUUCAUAUAGACGGCAUAGUAAAAUCCAUAUUCAUCAUUAUCAAUAUCACGUUUCACAGUAUAUAAAAUAGUAAAAACUAUAGAAUAAAGUCAUAAAGAUGACAUUCUAAACGGAAUAAGAGUGUUUUGGUCUUUUGCUAGUUAUCUAGUAAUUUUGUUUUUGUUUUUUUUUUUUUUUUAUCAUGGUGCUUACUUAAUAUCCCUUUAAAAAUAAUUUAAAUGGCGAAUUUACCUAUAGAUUUUUUUGAACAAUUAAUUUAGCUACAUUUUAUAUAUAUCAUAAGGUUGAAGGUGCAGUGAAUGAAACUUGCCGUGGACCAGCCUUAUGGGAUAUCUACUGUAAGAGAUUUCCAGGUGAGUGUCUCUACGUUUCUUAUCUCGUAAUUGUGUUUAGGAUUAUUCAUUCUUCCACUAAUAAUAUCGAAACUCAACUGAUUAUUUUCAUUAAAUUUGAAUUACAGCAAGAUGCAACAACGAUAACGGCGAUGUAGCUGUUGAUUUCUUCCAUCGUUAUAAGGUAUACAAUUUAGUUCAGGUUAAAGAAAUCAAUUAUGGCAACGUAUAUCAAGUAAUUAAUUAAUUAAUUAAUUAAUUAAUAUUUCCUGUUAUUCUAUUUUAUAGUCCAUUGAUUCAUAUUAGAUGCUAAUAAUUUGUGUCGUCGUAAAAAAUGUUUAUAGGAAGAUAUCCAACUAAUGAAGAAUCUAAACACAGACGCCUUCAGAAUGUCUAUCGCAUGGCCAAGAAUAUUUCCUCGUGAGUAUAUGUGCUAAGAAUCUAUACACAUUUAUCUGUCUACUCAAUCAGUAACUUGAUUUAAUUUUACUCGAGAUUGGUAUUUUCAAAAUGUAUAUCAUUGUUGAGAUAUUAAUGAAGCAAAACAAUAUUAUAUCAGAUGGGAGAAUGGAGAAAGGAAUCAGUUGGGCUGGUGUGCAAUUUUACCACGACCUCAUUGACGAACUCCUUAAAAAUGGUUAUAUAUUUUAAUGUGUAUAUAUAUAUAUAGUGACAAUUGCUGAUUAUAGACGUUAAUAAAAUUUUCUAAAACUUUUUAUUACUGUUUUUAAAAGGUAUAAUUCCGUUCGUGACUGUUUAUCACUGGGAUACUCCACAAGAUUUAGAAGAUGAAUAUGGUGGCUUUUUAAGCGAAAGGAUUGUGUAAGUUUUUUUUGAUAAAACAACUCAUAUUUUAAUGUAUAUAAAACCACUAUAAAACAGGAAAAAUUAAUUGAAUAACUUUUUGGAAAAAUGCAGGAAAGAUUUCCGAGAAUAUGCAAAUUUUGUUUUUCAAGAAUAUGGUGGAAAAGUAAAACAUUGGAUCACUUUUAACGAGCCAUGGGUUUUCUCGCACGCUGGUUAUGACGUAGGCAAGAAAGCACCAGGACGUUGCUCUAAGUACGUCAAAGAUGAAUGUCAUGAGGGACGAUCAGGAUUCGAGGCUUACCUCGUCACUCACAAUCUCCUUAACUCUCACGCAGAAGCCGUUGAAGCUUUCCGACAAUGUGAAAAGGUAUAUCAUAUUCAUAGUUUCAUACAUAAUAAUAAUUUAUCGGCUUUCGGAUCUGAAACACUCUUUGCUUUGUGUUAUGUUUAUGGCCGCAGUGUAAAGGUGGGAAAAUCGGAAUUGCACAUAGUCCGGCUUGGUUCGAACCACAUGACCUUGCUGAUUCACAAGACGGUGCGUCCAUUAACCGUGCACUUGACUUUAUUUUGGGAUGGUAAGUAGUUAAUAUCCUAAUAUCAUCAAAUUAAUUCUAAAUAUCUUUUAACAUAAUAUAUAAUAAUUGCUUUUUUCUUUUCU